rnacentral:rRNA from 1 species
UACGAAGGGGGCUAGCGUUGCUCGGAAUCACUGGGCGUAAAGGGUGCGUAGGCGGGUCUUUUAGUCAGGGGGGAAAUCCUGGAGCUCAACUCCAGAACUGCCUUUGAUACUGGAGAGCUUGAGUCCGGAAGAGGUGAGUGGAACUCCGAGUGUAGAGGUGAAAUUCGUAGAUAUUCGGAAGAACACCAGUGGCGAAGGCGGCUCACUGGUCCGGUACUGACGCUGAUGUGCGAAAGCGUGGGGAGCAAACAGG